rnacentral:rRNA from 1 species
GACGAACGCUGGCGGCGUGCUUAACACAUGCAAGUCGAACGGAAAGGCCCUGCUUUUGUGGGGUGCUCGAGUGGCGAACGGGUGAGUAACACGUGAGUAACCUGCCCUUGACUUAGGGAUAACUUCAGGAAGCUGGGGCUAAUACCGGAUAGGAGCUCCUGCUGCAUGGUGGGGGUUGGAAAGUUUCGGCGGUUGGGGAUGGACUCGCGGCCUAUCAGCUUGUUGGUGGGGUAGUGGCUUACCAAGGCUUUGACGGGUAGCCGGCCUGAGAGGGUGAGCGGCCACAUUGGGACUGAGAUAAGGCACAGACUCCUACGGGACGGAGGAGUGGGGAAUAUUGCACAAUAGGCGGAAGCGUGAUGUAGCAACGCCGGGAGCGGGGUGACGGCCUUCGGUUUGUAAACCGCUUUCGCUUGUGACGAAGCGUGAAUGACGGUAAUGGAUAAAGAAGCACCGGCUAACUACGUG